rnacentral:rRNA from 1 species
UACGUAGGAGGCAAGCGUUGUCCGGAAUUACUGGGCGUAAAGCGCGUGUAGGUGGUGGGACAAGUCUGCUGUGAAAGCGCCUGGCUUAACCGGGCGAGGUCGGCGGAAACUGUCCGACUCGAGGACGGUAGAGGGGGGUGGAAUUCCCGGUGUAGUGGUGAAAUGCGUAGAGAUCGGGAGGAACACCUGUGGCGAAGGCGGCCCCCUGGGCCGGCCCUGACACUGAGACGCGAAGGCGUGGGGAGCGAACGGGG